AAGAGCCCCAGUAAGCCAGUGACUCAGCCCCUGUAAUAGGGUUAGAGGCAGAGAAUCCCAGUGGAUAUAUAACAUAUAUCAGUACACAUCAUAUCAUCUGAUAUGGUGAGGUGAGGCGUGUAUAUGAUGCUUCUGUUGUAUAAAAUAUGAUUUAUGUGUAUGUAUCUGUCAUCUACAGGAGGAUGACCUGUAGAUGGAUGACAUGGGGAAGGAGAGGCAUGCAGGGCCCGAAGGUUAAGACAACGUGCUGACUUCUCGCUAUGUCAGGUGGCAACUGCUGGCUCUGGUCAUCCCUUGUGCCGAUAUUCAGUUUUGUAGUAAUAACGCAGUGAAGCUGGAGUAGCAGAGGACGAGAUGCAUUACCUGUCCAUUGGCAUCAGAACAACAGAUCUCAUCACCAUCACUCUCUGUGCUGAACAGACCUAGGGCGUACGGGUCACUUCCCCCCCAGGUCCAUCCCACUAUGCCCUGCCUCAGAGUCCACCAGCGACGAGGCAAAGGCAGACUGGACAAUCUGGAA